UACAUUAUGAUGGACUUCGAAAAAACUGCACAUACGUGUGCCAGACAAGUUUUCGAAAAUACUACGAUAAAAGGAUGUAACUUUCAUCUUGGUCAAAUAAUUUAUCGCAAAAUACAAAAGAAUGGUCUUCAAAAACUAUAUGGAAACAAUGAAUCAUUUGCAUUGGAAAUUAAAUGUUUGUAUGCUUUGGCAUUUUUGGAAGAGUCAGAUAUACCAAUAUACUUUGACGAAUGGAAAAUAACAAAAACAUCACCAACAGAACCAAUAGCGACGUGGUUUGAACAAUAUUAUGUGUGGGGUACUUCAACUUCUCCGCCACAAUUUCCACCGGCAAUAUGGAGUACACACCAACUAACCCAAGAAGAUAUACCCAGGACACAAAAUCACGCCGAAGCAUGGCAUAACCGAUUCGCACAUUUCGUGGGGAAACACCAUCCCCAGUUUUAUUAUUUAGCAAGAAAGAUUACCCAAGAGAUAACACACCAAAUCACAGAAAUUGAAAAGAGGCAACUCGGAAUAGCACCACCUAAAAAAAAAAAGAAAUACAGCGAUAAACUGAAGCGUAUUGACAUAAUUAUUAGUCAGAAAAAUGAUUAUACAAGUAAAAUUGAUUUCCUAAAAGCCAUAGCCAGUAAUCUAAACCUCAAAUGAAUGGAUAUAUUAAUAAAUAUAUAUUGCAUGAUAUAUAUUUAAAUUUAAUAAUAUGUAAAAUAUUAAAUGAUUGAAAUAAUAAUAUAUCAUGAUAACU